rnacentral:lncRNA from 1 species
GUUGGGGAUAGUUUUAAAAAGAUAACACUGACAUAAAAAUAAGAAAUAUGUGUGGGUUGGAAAGGGGGAUUCAAAGAAAACUUUUUCCUUCCUAGUUAGUACUGGGUAAGACGACGCAUGAACAAGGACAUCGAGUGUCACACGUCUGAUCUCUGUCCUCGAGGGGUGGACACCAUCAGAGGACGGACACAGAUAUGCCAGUUAACGCCACCCCAAGACAACUCGCUGACGAACUCGGCGGGCGUGGGCAGCACCCGGAAGAGGAGGUCUGCCUGGGCUGAAUGCUCUCCAGGCCGGGGGCAAGACGCCGGCCUCAGGGUUCUCGCUUCUCCUUCAGCUCAUUUCUUUGUGUCAAGCCUGUGGCGGCCACUCCCUGCUAUCUCCUCAUCACUUAAACAUGACAGAAGCACAGCAGCACUGCAAGGCAAUCUUGCCAGUUGAAGCUAAGUGCCAAAGAUGGCUGAACAAACAACAAAAGAGCCUGGGAGAGUGACGACAUCAAGAGUCAUCAAUCCUUCGCUACCUAGGAGAGAGGGACAGGGAGAAACAAACUGCACCAGACUAGUGUUUUUCAACUUUCUUUUCAUUACUGUCCCCUUAUUAAACAGCCU